UACGGGGGGGGCAAGCGUUGUUCGGAAUUACUGGGCGUAAAGGGCUCGUAGGCGGCCAACUAAGUCAGACGUGAAAUCCCCAGGCUCAACCUGGGAACUGCGUCUGAUACUGGAUGGCUUGAAUUCGGGAGAGGGAUGCAGAAUUCCAGGUGUAGCGGUGAAAUGCGUAGAUAUCUGGAGGAACACCGGUGGCGAAGGCGGCAUCCUGGACCGGUAUUGACGCUGAGGCGCGAAAGCCAGGGGAGCAAACGGG
rnacentral:rRNA from 1 species